GGGUGUGGGUUCUUAUACUGAAGACAUUUUUAAAUUGGCUACACUGAUUUAACAAUUUGAACAUUUCUAAGUCCAUUAGCAUAUUUAUCAAGUUAACAGGAUUUCUCUCCUGCGGGGCGUGACUCAUGAUGAAGCUAUGACGUGACUGUGAGUCUUUACCACACAACAGACUGAAGCCCUUACCCCACUGUCACACAAACAGGGUUCUCUCCCACAUGGAUCCUCUCUCUCUCUCUUUCUUUUUUCAUCUUUCUGUCUUUUCUAGGGCCACACCCUCGGCAUAUGGACGUUCCCAGGCUAGGGGUCAAAUCAGAGCCGUAGCUACUGGCCUAACCCACAGCCACAGCAACCCCAGAUCUGAUCUGUGUCUGCGACCUACACCACAGCUCAUGGCAAUGCUGGACCCUUAACCCACAGAGCGAGGCCAGGGAUCGAACCCACGUCCUCGUGGAUACUAGUUGGGUUCAUUAACCGCUGAGCCACGACAGGAACUCCCCAUGACGCAGGUUUGAUCCCUGGCCUCCCGCGGUGGGUUAAGGAUCCAGUGUUGCCGUGAGCUGUGGUGUAGGUCAUGGACGUGGCUCAGAUCCCUCCUGGCUCUGGCUGUGGUGUAGGCCGGCAGAUGCAGCUCUGAUUAGACCCCUCGCCUGGGAAUCUCCAUGUGCCGUGGGUGCGGCCCUAAAAAAAAAAAAAAAAAAAGACUACAAAUAUUUACCGAGUGGCUGCUCUUGCUGGGCUCUGGGCCAGGAGCUGGAGACACAAGGGUGGGCGGAGCCCCCACAGCUGCCGUCUCGUGGAGCCGCCAGGAUCGUGCGAGAAACCGACUCUCUGGGAAGAAGGAGAGAUGCCCAAGUUCUCCGUCCACCCGUGUACGCGGAGUCGGAUGGGUAUGAAAGCUGGAGCUCACUUCUCACGCGCACAGGGUUGCGACCUCGCGUGCACUCUUAACGCACACGAAGGCUCGGGUUGGAACCGCAGCCCUCACGGGCGCCGUGGGUCUCCCCCCGGGCUGGCUCUGGUGGGGGGUCUGUGCGCCGCACUAAACCUCCACCGGCCUCGGCGCGGGCGCGGCGCUCUCCCCGUGGGCUCGGUCGACGGAACCCAAGGAGCGCGCUCCUUCCAAGGCCCUGGCAGAACCUCACACGCGAACGGGUUCUCUCCCGCAUGGCUUCCUUGCUGGACUCAGGAGCUGCGCCCCGACUGAGGAGGCGUCACGGCAGCCAGCAGGCCCGCAGCUUCGCUCUCGCAAGAACGCGGAGCCCCAGCUGGGGUGGAAGCCCUCGCGGUGGAAGCGGCUGAGCGCGGAAGUCGCCUUUGAAGGGUUUCCCAUUUAAGCGGCUUCUCUCGCGUGGACUCCGAUGCACGUGGAGGUCUGUGUUCUGACACAAGUCCUUACACACGCCUCACACUUGCGCAGUUUCUCUCCAGUGUGGACCCUCCCCUGGAUGGGAAGCUUGGUGCUCCGAUGGAAGCCCUUGCCACACGCCUCACACUCAAAGGGUUUCUCGCCUGUGUGCACCCUCUGAUGCACACGAAGAUUUGUGUUAUAACGGAAGUCUUUGCCCUAAAAAGCAUAAAAAAAAAAUCCCAGUUCUACUAGAAUUCAGAGGAAAGGAUUAGAAGAAUGAAAUUCUGGUCUUUAAGGUCUUGUAUGUGUAUGAGAGAUCCAGAAGGAGGGAAGAAAGAGUAUGAUGUUAAUAAUAAUAAUAAUAAUUACUUAUUAGCCUGAAAGAGAACUUGAUUCCUUUAGAUUGAAAGUGUGCCCCCAAAAGACAAACUAACAUACAUAUGUAUCUGGAUGCAAUUUCUGAAUUUCAAGGAUCAAGCAAACAUAAGCAUAACAAGUUACAAUUAAACUUGCAAAAAGUCACUCCCUUGUUAAGAAACUAAGAUGGACAGAAGACAACAGGACAAUGUCACCACAGUCCUGAGGGAGAAAGACUAUCAUCAAGAACCCUACGUCUGGGAGCUCCCGUCAUGGCUCAGUGGUAACAAACCCAACUAGUAUCCACGAGGAUGCGGGUUCCAUCCCUGGCCUGGCUCAGUGGAUUAAGGAUCCGGCACUGCCGUGAGCUGCGGUGUAAGUCACAGACGCAGCUCGGAUCUGGUGUUGCUGCGGCUGUGGUGCGGGCCAGCAGCUGCACCUCCAAUUGGACCCCUAGCCUGGAAAUUUCCAUACACCAUGGGUGCAGCCUGAAAAAGACAAAAAAAAAAAAAAAAAAAAGAAUCCUAAACCUAAACCAAUCAUUCCCCUACGAGGACAAAAGGAAGAUACAAAAAAGGAGAGGGCAAAGAUGUCCAAAAUUAGUCAAAAUAAACUUGUAGAGAAAGAAGACAUGAAAUAUAAAUAUAUUAAGGCUUUUCCUCCUUUUCCCCCAACAAAAUCUCAUGAAAUAUCAAGGGAAAACUCCCAUGAGCUGAAGGAUUCAGAGGUGGAAAGAGAUGAACAGAUGCAUAAUUACUAGAAAAAUAAUUGCUUAUCUAGACACAUCUGGUAAAAUUUCAAAAUCCUAAGGGUAAACAGAAAAAACAAGAAACAGAAAAAUUAUAAAUGUUUCCAGAAGGGAGGAUAAAGAAAAACAGGUUAAACAAACAAAAAUAAGAUAAAAUAAGACAAAGAAGGACCAAAUGAAUGAAGCAGAUCAGAAUCAGCAAUAUCAAAGCAUAGAAACAAAGACAUAGUAGCUGGAACAUUCUCAGGGAAAAUGAUUUUGAAUCUAAAGGUCUCUACUCAGUCAAACUAGUAUGCAAGGGUGGGCUGAAUAUACACACCUUUUCAAACAUGCAGGGACUCAGAAAGUAUAUCUGCAAAUGAAAAAUAAAUCUAAGCAACAGGCAGAUGUGGUAUAUAAGGAUUUAUAGAAAGAAAGGGUUCCCAUUAAAAUUAAGGCCAAUUUAACCUGGGAAAAUAGAGGUAUAAUAAAAUAAAAAAUUAUGGGGAGUUCUCUCGUGGCUCAGCAGGUUAAGGAUCCAGCAUCGUCACAGCAGUGGCUUGAGUUGCAGCUGUGUGGUGCAGGUUUGAUCCCUGGCCUAGUAACCUCCGCAUGCCAUGGAUCUGGUAAAAAAAAUUAUAAAUGGUUUCAAAAACACACAGGAUGAGGGAGUGUAUGUAUGUGUGUGUCAGGAUUAAGUAAAAGCAUGUUUAUGACCUUGUCUUGUUCUGGAGAAUGGAAGUUAUAAUAAAUACUGAUUGACACUUGACACUAAUAAAAAAAUAUAACUUUUCAAACAUGCUCUAAUCUUAAGGUAACUAAUUCAAGGAUAAAAAUAAGAAGUAGAAUUUUCAAAUAAUAAUAGAAGUGAAGAGGAAAGAAAUAAGAAUUCAUUUAGAAAAGGGGGGGUGAUUAAACAGAAAGCACAACAUAAUAUGUCAGAAGUCGGACCAAAUAUGUCAGUUAUCACAGUAAAUGCGAAAGGGCUAAAUUCCCUCAGGGUCCUACAGACUCCAAGAUUAAGUUAAAAAAACUCCAGCCACUUUCAGCUUGCAAGAGACAAGAAUAUACCAGGCAAAUGCUAACUAAGAGAGAGCAAAUGAGCAACACUAAUAUCUGACAAGCAGAAUUCAAGACAAAACACACUAAGUAAGACAAAAAGGUAUAAUCCACUAGGAGAAUAUAAGAAUCAUAAAGAAAUUGUCAAAUCCAAAAUCACUGAAUAAAUCUUUAAAAAGCCCUAAAGCAGGUAUGUACCUAAGAAUGUUAACUACAGCAUUAUAAUACUGCCAAACGGGAAAUAGCCUAAAUGUCCAUCAAGAAGAGGUGGGUGAAAUGAUUCUAAUACUUUUGUACAGUGGGAUACAGUCUAGCCUACAGCCAGAGGAUGAGGUUUAAAAAAAUGAUGAGGUAGACCUGGAUAUACUGUAUGGUCAUGUCCAUGAUGAACCCAUGACUAAAAACAAAUGAAGUUACAGAACGGAUAGAAAAAUAGAUAUCUGUGCCUCAGUUUUCUUGUCUAUAAAAUGGGGAUGAUGUUAAUAUCCCACAGAGAUAUGGUGAAUAUUAAAUCAAUUAAUUCCAGUGAAGUACUCUGAGCAAUUGACUGGUAUACAGAUAUUUCACUUGAGUGUGUUGGGGGAGUGCAUGCUAAAAGCCUUAAAAUGCACACACACUUUGACAUACCAAUUCUGCUUCAAAAAUGUUGUCCUGAGGAAAUAACCAGGCAAAUGUACAACAAUGUAGAUUGAAGCACUGUUUAAUAGCAAAAUUAGUGGAGAAGGUGUAUGUUCAACGUGCUGUGGUCUGAAGGAUUGUAUGCCCCCCCAAAUUCAUAGGUUGAAAAACUAAUGCCUAAGGUAAUGGGAUUAGGAGGUGGAGCUUCGGGGAUGUGAUUAGAUCAUAAAAGUGGCACCCUUAUGACUGGGAUUAAUGUCCCUAAAAAGAGGCCCCAUCUAGAAUACCCGCUAUGGCUCAUGAACACGACUAGUAUCCAUGAGAAUGCAGGUUUGACUCCUGGUCUUAAGAAUCCAACAUUGCUGCUAGCUGUGGGGUAGGUCGCAGACAAAGUCUGAUCCCAAGUUGGUGUAGGCUGGCAGCUGCAGCUCCGAUUGGACCCCUAGCCUGUGCACUUCCAUAUGCCACAGGUGUGGCCCU
rnacentral:lncRNA from 1 species